rnacentral:rRNA from 1 species
AGCGAACGCUGGCGGCAGGCCUAACACAUGCAAGUCGAACGGAUCCUUCGGGAUUAGUGGCGGACGGGUGAGGAACACGUGGGAACGUGCCUUUUGGUUCGGAACAACUCAGGGAAACUUGAGCUAAUACCGGAUAAGCCCUUCGGGGAAGGAUUAUCGCCAUUAGAGCGGCCCGCCGUCUGAUUAGCUAGUUGGUGGGGUAAAAGGACCUACCAAGGCUACGAUCAGUAGCUGGUCUGAGAGGAUGAUCAGCCACAUUGGGACUGAGACACGGCCCAAACUCCUACGGGAGGCAGCAGUGGGGAAGUCUUGCGCAAUGGGCGGAAAGCCUGACGCAGCCAUGCCGCGUGAAUGAUGAAGGUCUUAGGAUUGUAAAAUUCUUUCACCGGGGACGAUAAUGACGGUACCCGGAGAAGAAG